rnacentral:rRNA from 1 species
AGCGAACGCUGGCGGCAGGCCUAACACAUGCAAGUCGAACGGAUCCUUCGGGAUUAGUGGCGGACGGGUGAGUAACACGUGGGAACGUGCCCUUUGGUUCGGAACAACUCAGGGAAACUUGAGCUAAUACCGGAUGUGCCCUUCGGGGGAAAGAUUUAUCGCCAUUGGAGCGGCCCGCGUCUGAUUAGCUAGUUGGUGAGGUAAAGGCUCACCAAGGCGACGACCAGUAGCUGGUCUGAGAGGAUGAUCAGCCACAUUGGGACUGAGACACGGCCCAAACUCCUACGGGAGGCAGCAGUGGGAAUCUUGCGCAAUGGGCGAAAGCCUGACGCAGCCAUGCCGCGUGAAUGAUGAAGGUCUUAGGAUUGUAAAAUUCUUUCACCGGGGACGAUAAUGACGGUACCCGGAGAAGAAGCCCCGGCUAACUUCGUGCCAGCCGCCGCCGUAAAAC